AGGGUUUGAUGGCUCAGGAUGAGCGCUGGCGGCAUGCCUAAGACAUGCAAGUCGUACGAAGUGGCCCAUUGAUGAUUGAGUGCUUGCACAAGAUUUGAUUUGGAUUCCCACUUAGUGGCGCAAGGGUGAGUAACGCGUAGGUUAUCUGCCUUCGAGUUUGGAAUAACAAUUAGAAAUGAUUGCUAAUGCCGGAUUAUAUUUAAGAUGAUACGUUGUCUUAAAUUAAAAGGAGCCUUUAAAGCUUCGCUUGAAGAUGAGCCUGCGUCGUAUUAGCUAGUUGGUGGGGUAAUGGCCUACCAAGGCAACGAUGCGUAGCCGACCUGAGAGGGUGAUCGGCCACACUGGGACUGAGACACGGCCCAG
rnacentral:rRNA from 1 species